GACGUAGGGCGCGAGCGUUGUCCGGAUUUAUUGGGCGUAAAGAGCUCGUAGGCGGCUUGUCGCGUCGAUCGUGAAAACUUGGGGCUCAACACCAAGCCUGCGGUCGAUACGGGCAGGCUCGAGUUCGGUAGGGGAGACUGGAAUUCCUGGUGUAGCGGUGAAAUGCGCAGAUAUCAGGAGGAACACCGGUGGCGAAGGCGGGUCUCUGGGCCGAUACUGACGCUGAGGAGCGCAAGCGUGGGGAGCGAACAGG
rnacentral:rRNA from 1 species